UGUGUGUGUGCGUUUGCUCUUUGUCCGCGAGCGAGCCGCCGUACUUCCGGGUUUACGUGCGGAUAGUGGCAAGGGUGGACUGAGGAGCUUUGUGGGGAAGCCGUUAAGUGUUUAGGAAGACGUGCUUAUUAAACGUCUGCAUCCGUGCCUCGUGAGUCGCCGUACAGGUAUGUGUGGACGCUGACAUCAUUAUUAACGAUAUAUGGGCUUUAAUGAUCGGCUGAUUAAAGUUUGUUUUUUUCCUAUUUAAGGUGCGGGUCAAUGUGCAAGGGACGUUACAGUGGGCUGCUAUAUUGCGCUUUUCGCUUGCUGUGUGGCUUUCCUGCGCUAUGUGCAUCGUUUACACCGCUUUGAUGUUGGCUUGACUGUCUGCUUUUUCCGACUGCAGCUGCUCCGCGCUACAUCAUCUGUGCUCUGCUUCGCUCUGCGCUGUCUGCUUCGCUCUGCGUUGUCUGCUUCGCUGGGUUCAGCUGGACAUUGUUAAUUUACGUUCCCGUUUUCUGGAGCUCCGUGUUACUUCCAUUUGGCACCAGCUGAUUGACAUUUUGCUGCUCUUGUAUGCUAACAGUUUCUUGUUGCAGCAUUUAACUACCUGCAGGAUCAGCUGGGCCGGGGGCAUGGUGCUUAUUUCCACCGGUAGUGUGAGUAACUGAUUUAGAAGUGGCGUGUUACAGGCUAGUCAUUACCUGAUUCUUUGUGUUGUGAUUUAAUCAUUUAUUUUUGCAUUAGCUUUAUUAUUUUGUUUAUUUUCCUAACCUUAUCGGGUUGAGGUUUCCCUACUUUAAUGGGAAUCCAUUUCUUUUGAUUUCUAUUCUUUUUAUUAGUUUGAUUUUGUGGUAUAAUGUUCUUUUUGUUUUCUUAAGUGUAGUUAUUUUCUUUCUUUUGUGAUCUGUUAAGUGCCUUUCCUCUGUUCAUGUGCCUCUGUACGAAUCAAGUAACGAGCAGUUUUUGGGCUGUUGACUGUGUCGAGAGCCAGGCUGUUGUAAUGUGAUGCUUGUUUUAAAUUACUUUUCAGGAGUGGGGUGGCCAGUGGCAGCAGAUUAGCAUCUUGCGGUGGUGGGUUCCUUACCUGAUUGCAGUGCAGUGUUCACAGUGAGCUGUGGUGCGUGUGUGCACGUUUCCAGGCAGUGGUGUGGUGCAGAUGUCUUUCCAUUCGAUGCUGUGCUUUGCCAAAUUGAUGGAUCAGCUGUGGAGCAGGUUGAGCUGAUUGCUAGCGUGCCAACGGAUUGCAUGUGCCUCAUGCUUUUGUCCGUGUGUCUGUUUCAGUGUUAGACACUCAGAGAAUCAGCUGGGAGGAGUCCUGAUGAACUGCUGCGGUACGUUUCUUCUCUUUUGAGGUAUUUGGAUCUCCACUCAACAGUCACCAUAGAGUUCGUGUUUCUACUGAAUAGAAUUGAUUUAGUUUUUUUUUACUUUUCUUUGAUUCUUUUCUUGUGAAUUGUUGGGGUUUUGUUUUUGUGUGAUUUACAUGGCCAACAUUGUGCUAUUCGUAUUAUGUUUUGAAAUUUUUCUUAUGUUUUUCUUAUCUUUUGCCCCUUUUGUAAUGUGCCUAAGUGUAGAUGGAAAAAUUCUCUUGACCUUUCCAGGCAUUGGGGUGACCAGUAUUAGUGUGAGGGACAGGUACCUCUCUGUUUUGUUUGUGGAUUUUUCCUGUUUUCAGUAUUCAACGUGUUGUGUAAUGUGAGCAUACCGGUGCUUUGCUGUGGUUUCAGAGACAAACAGAGCGAGGUCCUCAGCCCUGGAGUGCAAGCAGGCUUCGGUACCACAGCUCCCUGCUUAGCCUUAGCAGAUGGUUCUGGAAGCAAGGUGGGCUCUGGAAAUUGACUUGUACAAUUGGACGUUUGAGCACAGACACAGUCACAAACAUGCAAAUGGAGAUGCAAUGUCUCGUCGGCCUGUCAGAAAUGUUCCGAUUGACUCUACAAUUGAGAUUGAAUGUGUAAACUUUGUUUCGGCUUGCACUUAGACGGAUGUAGUUGAUUUACAGCUUACCAUGCCUCCACCCGCAAACCAGUUGGCUGACACUGAUACCACAUCUCAACAGGUCUUACCCACUACAGCUUUUAUACAUUACUCAAUCUCUGCUUCUGCUAAUAUUUGACUUUUGGAAAUAGAUAGGGAGGAUAUUGGUCAGGUUAAAAAAAGCUGACCCUUUAUUGAGCACAGUGAUUGACUGGGUGUUAGCCAAGCGCAGACCACCAUAUUCUGAGCUAAAAGCCACCUUACCUUGAGUGAAGCAAUUUUGGAAAGAAUUUCCCAUACUUGUUUUGGUUGGCUACAUUCUUAGCUGCAAAGUUAGACCCUGACCAGGUGAUGUCACUUUUCAAGUUGUGGUUCCAAAGAACCUUCAUCUGAAAAGUGCUUGAGGAGCAAGAAGGCCACAAACACCACAUCAGCAGGCCCCUAUGCAAAACAUAGAUACAAGCAUGCCUUUUGAGAAAGUGGCAGCUGAUUUGACAGAGUUGCCUGUUACACAAAGAGGUCACCGGGAUAUUCUUAUGGUAAUGUAUUAUUUUACAAAGUUUUUAAAUGUAUAUGCACUCCCUGAUCAGCGAGCGACAACCAUUAAAUUAUUGUUUGAGGAUUACAUAAGCAAUCAUGGUUUACCCAAAAGUUUGCACACAAACCAAGGUUGCCAAUUUGACUCUGAUCCAGUCAAAGAAUUGUGCUCUCUACUUGGAGUACGCAAAACACGUACCUCACUCUAUCAUCCUAUGUCUGACAGCAUGGUAGAAUGUGCCAAUAGAUCUGUCAAAGAUCAACUUGCUAAAUAUAUGUACACAGAAAAUGGUGAAUGGGAUGAACACUUGAGGCAGGUUGAGUUUGCAUACAAUACACACACAAUUCUUACGUUAAAACAAAUUUAAAAAAAAAAUUGUUAGCUACUAAAUACAUGCAUGCUGAACAUCCACCAUAUAGAACACAAGCAGAGAAAAGAUAACGAUAAUAAUCAGUAUUGUCUCUGUUCUCAUGUUGAUGGGCUGAAAAUAGUGAGCAAUGAAAAAUACUUCACAUUUCAGCAAAUUAAAUAAAACUAAAGUAACGAGCCUUUUGAAAAUGUAAGAAGUAGAAAGUACAGUUAUUUGUGUAAAGAUGUAAUGAGUAAAAAUAAAAAGUUGUCUGAAAAAUAAAUAGAUACCAGAAAAAUCUACUUAAGUACAGCCAAAAAUAUUUGUACUUUGUUACUUACCACUUCUCAUUUGGCUAUAGUCUGACCAGAGCCAUAUUUUCAAACAAGUUUACCCAGAUAAAAUAGAAAAAUCUUAUAAAAAAUUUACCUAUAGACCUACAGCCUUCCCAGAGCGUCCCUUAGGCCGCAUCGAUAAAUAUGGUAACAUGAAAGGCUGAGACUUAAACAUAGAAGUUAAGUCAUGCUACAUUCUGCACACACAGUAUCCUCUGGGUGGAGCACUCAUGAGAAUUUAUGCAAGUAAGAAAUCUUAAAUAAUAUGCUUCUACAAAAGCAUCAAGGCUCUGAUAUACGUGCGUAUCGGUGUGUGUUCUUGCAACCAUACAGAAAUUGCUUUAAAAAAGUAUGAUUUUGACAUGCAGAAUUUCAUUUGUUAGCAGUUUUUCAACACCAGCCUUGUGGAUUUCUCUAGUUCAUUCCGUUUAUGAAAGUAUUUUAAAAAGUUAUUAGUGAAUAAACUUAAAUUCCACCUAAUCUUACACAGAAUUAAGAUUUCACAUUCUCCACCACUAUACACCCCCCUCUUGAUGCCCCUGAGUCAUAUGUACAGCUCCUUCAAUGUGCAAAUGAGCACACAAAGUGCACACAAAGACUGCACAUCCCUGCUAUUCAGAGCGAAAAAAAAAAAAAGGGGACCCUCUUCCAGCUGAGGCAGGGAUCCAGAGUCUAAUUCUGAAACAUUCAUCCAUGCCAAGUUAAAGUGUCUUUCCUGUGCCUUGGGUCACACACAUGCACCUUGGCUUCAAUUUCUUUGAGUAAAGCACUGAAGCCUAUUCUGUGGACAGAUUAACGCAUCUUAAUAAUUUACUCAUUUUAACAGAUGUGGCCUGUUUUCACUCAUAAUGUGUCUCAAAAAUAUAAAUAAUGAUUGAUGAAACUUUUGUACAGUAAACUCCUCAAAGCCAAUUAAAGCAAUGGACAUGUGAGCGGAUAGAACCAAUUUUCCUGUUUUUAUCUCACGCCAUUCUGUUGGCCAUGAUGUUUCUUCACCUUUAAACAACUCUAUAAGGAAUUUAUUGUCUUUGACAGAGUAAAAGCUGUGUUGUCUAGGCAAAUUAAUUUGAUUUUAUAACUGGUUCGUGGUGCACUGUUUGGAAAAGGAUAAAGUAAUGCCUAAUACUAAAAAAGCAGGACUAUAGAGUGCUCCCAGCCAAGGCUAUGGCUGUUUUUUUAUUGCAUUUGAUUCCAUAUUUUAUUGAAUAUUUAAUUAAAAUUGUUGGCAAGGACAGUUAAAUGUAAAUUUUGCUUUUCCCAGACACCUAAAAAAAUUGCUAAAAUAAAGUUGCAUGUAUUAAAUAUUAAUGGGAGAUAAAUAAUCAGUAAAACAAAAACUCUUCAUUAUAGAUAUGAAGUCACAAGGCCUGUUCGCAUGGCUGCUUGUUUUGUUAUCUUACAAAUAUGACUAUGUUCCACUGAUUUUUUAAAGACAGAAGCAAAUUAUAGAAGACAAAUUUUGAUUUCCCAUUUAAUUUAUUGAUCAAAUGCUAUAGUAAAAUUUGACUUAGGACCAUUCGUCUUUUUAUAAAGGAGUUUUGGAAGUCUUCAAUAUUUUUGUUAGUAUAUGCAGAGCACAAAGAUGAGCAAGAUUGCUUUCAGCAAACCUUAAAUAUCAAAGAUUUUCCAGCUUGUAAUCAUUUGAAUCCCACUUUUGUGCCACGGAAAGCAGGAAUAGGUAAUUGAGGGAAAAACGAUGAAAUAAUGUCCAUCGUCUUGGCAACUGGUUGUGGAGAUGCUGAGGACAGCAAGCACAAUUGGCACUGGUUGCCUAUUGCAGCUGGUAGCCUGCCGUCUGAACUAGAAAACAAACUCAGUUAACGACAUACACUUCACACACAACAAUGAUUACUAUAGCUGAGAGGAAAUUAUGACAGCCUUAAAGGAGGAGAUAUUUAAAACAAAAUUAUUAAAGAGAACAAAGUAAAUGUUAAAAUAAAUUGGAACACUGCACAGCCUAUUGAGCUCAACAAGCUGCAUGUGUUUUAUAUAUCUUUUUAUUUGCUUCAUUCUUUAUACUUUAUACAUAUUUUGUAGAUGUAUUAUAAAUAUACUUGCCAACAGUCACAGAGGUUAAAACUUGGGAAAAGGACCUACCAUACCUCAAGACAA